GACGAACGCUGGCGGCGUGCCUAAUACAUGCAAGUUGAGCGAUGAAGAUUGGUGCUUGCACCAAUUUGCAGAGCAGCGAGCGGGUGAGUAACGCGUGGGGAAUCUGCCUUUGAGCGGGGGACAACAUUUGGAAACGAAUGCUAAUACCGCAUAACAACUUUAAACAUAAGUUUUAAGUUUGAAAGAUGCAAUUGCAUCACUCAAAGAUGAUCCCGCGUUGUAUUAGCUAGUUGGUGAGGUAAAGGCUCACCAAGGCGAUGAUACAUAGCCGACCUGAGAGGGUGAGCGGCCACAUUGGGACUGUGACACGGCCCAAACUCCUACGGGAGGCAGCAGUAGGGAAUCUUCGGCAAUGGACGAAAGUCUGACCGAGCAACGCCGCGUGAGUGAAGAAGGUUUUCGGAUCGGAAAACUCUGUUGGUAGAGAAGAACGUUGGUGAGAGUGGAAAGCUCAUCAAGUGACGGUAACGACCCAGAAAGGGACGGCUAACUACGUG
rnacentral:rRNA from 1 species